CCAAAUAUUUACAAACAAGAAAUUAUACUCAAGGAAAUAUAUGAUUACAGACAUAGCCACCAAAAUCAUUACAUUACAUGUUAAAUGAACUAUUAGUUACAAUGGUAGCCACUCUAGUCUUAGAGCCUAAUUUACUAUACAGUCACAUUAGCUCUUUAUAUAAUGGCCACUCUUAAGUUAACGAUCACAUCCAUCUUCAAUUGCAACCAGGCUUGCAAAGGAAUAGCCACGAAGCUAUCCUUACAAGCCCAUCCACUCAAAGCAGUCUCUUUUGCAAGCUAGCACCAACAAGAAUGAAUUAAACUGCAAAUUUAAGGCAAAUAAAGAUUGUAUUAGAAAGUUUAAACAUUGAUUCCUUGCUUCAAAUGUGCAGAUCUAACCAAUCAGUGGUCAGAGCCUAAACAACUUACACGUAUGCAUAGACUUCAAUCAAGGCUAAAAUUCAAACCUCUAACGUGAUACUGAAUAUAGAAACACUUGGCAGUAAUUUCAACACCUAUUUAACGAUAUAUAGAUCCAGACAUUCAUCAACAUAUUACGAAUUUAACACUUAUCAGCGGAUAUUCAAGUAGACAUUGCACUAUCAAAUUAUUCUUCAUUCACAAAAGUAAGCUGACUAUACAUUAAGUGGGAAAGAGUACCAUAAAAUGCAGAACACAAAUGAAAAUAACAGCCAGAUGUGAAGGCUAAUAGGAAUGGGGAUCAGCAACAACAAGAACAGUAGAAAACUUCAGCUUAAAAACCUCAGAAUAACCAGUAAUUUGACCCAGUGAAAUCAGCAAACCAUACUCACAAGACAAUUAGCUUUCUCUAAUUUUUCUUUUGUAGCUUUCAAUAUCUUAAAGAAAGAAUUUUAUUGAGCUAUUGAUUUCUGCUUUUCCUUAUUUUUUUCAGAGAAUUGUGACUGCUAAGAACUCUCAAAAAACCUAUGUUAUUUGAGAAUCCUUUUAUGCCCCAGAAAAAUCUCUCAAGAGGAAUCCUAAGUUCAGUAAACUAAUCGACUAAGAAUAGCUUCCUCUUAAUUUUUCUUUAUUCCCCUUUUUAUCCUCAAAUUAGAGAAUCCUAUGUGUACUAGCCAAUUAGGAUGUCCCAGGCUCCUUCCUAGCAAUUUCCUUUUUCUCCCUGAAAUCCUUAAGCCGUAUCUUGUAUGAGCUUAAGAGGAUCAAAGGACAGGCAGGAGAUUGAUCUCUAAAAGUCAAAGCUCAACCAAAAUACAAUAGGGCCUGUCUGAAAGAUUUAAUAUGAGCCCAUAUGUUUAAAAUGGAACGGGCCAUGUAAUUAUCAACUAAGCUAAACACUUAAUUAUGAUAUAAUCGAAACUCUAGUUGACUAAACAUGUAAUUCAAACAAGAAAUAAAAUGGAACAUAAGCUAAUUGAAAUUAAAAAAUGAAAUGGAGAAGAAGGGGGGCAGGCUUAAAUCCAUCACAAGGAGUGAAUUCCACAUGACCAGUGGCUGUGAUUUUAUUAUCCGGCAAGUGGUAUAUGCAGCAAUGACCCUAUAAGUCCGUAAAGAGAAAGAAAAGGUCAAUUUUGACCGGAGAGAGUCUGAUUACCGGAAUAAGGAUGAAACCAACGGGGAAGUGUAUAUCAUGAAGAGACCUACCCGUAUAUAUAGGUAGGUUUACGAAUUUAAAGAAGAAGGGGAGGUUAGGAUUUCUGUAACGAC
rnacentral:lncRNA from 1 species